GCCCCGUUGGCCUAGUGAAUAAGGCGUCUGACUUCGAAUCAGAAGGUCAUCGGUUUGAAUCCGGUACGGGGCU